GGGGCAAGGCUGUGGCUCAGUGGUAGAGUAUCUGCUUUUUAUGCAGGACAACUUAGGUUCAUUCCCCAGCACCUCCA